ensembl:ncRNA F54D7.8 ncRNA
ACACAAAAAAUGAUAAACAAAACCUCCGUGGUGAAGCAAGGAGGGGCCGACCAAAAAGAACUGCUAAUACUUUGGUAAGCUGAUCGUGAAAACAGAAAAAGAGUGAGAGACAGGGAGACGGACUCUAACUAAUUCUACGAGUAAAUAA